rnacentral:pre_miRNA from 1 species
CAUAUACUCCCUCCGUCCCAAAAAUUUUGUCUUAAAUUUAUCUAGAUAUGAAUCUAUCUAGUCACGUUUUAGUAUUUAGAUACAUCUAUUUCUAAACAAAGCUAAGACAAUAAUUUUAAGACGGAGGAAAUAGAAU